GUUUCCGUAGGUGACCUGCGGA
rnacentral:rRNA from 1 species